UCRRAUUGAURGGCCCUUUGACCCCCUGAAAGAAAUUCCUGGUAAGAACACUGAAUAUAAUAUACUUGUUGGAAAUAUUCUCCACCCCACCCUAGAGGGGGAGAUUUUUGACACACUUUAGUAAUACUGUUUUUGAAAACAAAAUAAUGCUCUCAGAUCAAAUCUCCUUUUCUUUAACCAGUCUAACUCUAUGUUAUUUUGUAGGAUCUGGUGGCAUACAGCAAGACGCAUGACAUUCAACUUCUCACCCAUGCUGAUCCUCAAGAGAUUUUGACAGAUGAUCGUUUGCAGCAAAUUAUUUCUGGCAUCACAGAGGACRAAAAAGUUGAUGGGUGGAAUCCAACUUGGGUGCUAAGAUAUUCGGUCUUGGUGAAGUGUCGUGGYGUCAUCAAAAACAAGGCGUACAUUGUCAAGUGUGAGCGUCACUAACUCGCCAUGGUUUAUGUCUAACAUUUAUCCAUUCAGUAUAUGUAUAAUUCAAGAACGUAAAAUGGCACUGGUACUGCCUUCCAAUGAAUCCAAAAUCCUCAAUGUAUAUAUAAGAUCUUGCAAUCUAGUAGUCUAAAAUCAUGGUAGAGGUACACUAGUCUUAGGGUGCAUUGGCACCAGCACUGGAUUUCACAUGUCAUUCCCAUCUCGUGCAGAAUGUUUUCAGCUGAAUCACAAAUUUUCAAUAGAAUUCUUUCUGGUUAACAGCACAUGGUGUUCAGUGUUUGACAACCCUUUGGAGCAGAUAAUGAGAUUCAAAGACUUGUAUCAGCUGAUUGAAACCCAGCAAUAAUCUCCAUGUUGGAUAACUCGGAGAUUUGUUCUUCAUCUCUCUUGUCAUACCAUCCAACAUGGUGGCAAUAAUUUUUGUUUCAUUCACCUGUGAAAGGCUGCACCACACUUUCUGUUUUUCACGCGUCUGAUGAAAUUCUAAAUUCCCCCCGUCCCACCCCUCCUUUUAUAUUUUAUGUCUCCCUUGACAAGUGUCCGUUAUCUUAACAGUUUCAAAUUAUCGAUUUAAACUACGAAUAUCCUAAUGAAAACAAUUGUAAAAUACCAGCAAUUUCGAUGUAAAUAUCUGCAUAUUAGAAAUUAGAAAUUUUUUUCAGCUUGUAAAUGUUUUCUGUGAUUUCGUUUUUAAACUCUAAAAACGAGUAUUGAUUAAAAUUUUCAAUGACA